GCCAUCGUGGCGCAAUGGUAGCGCAUCACCUUCCUAUUCGGUCCGCAAGGGCAUAGGGAGCGUCAGGUGGGGGUUGCGGGUUCGAUCCCCGUCGGUGGUA